GACGAAGGAUGCAAGCGUUAUCCGGAUUCAUUGGGCUUAAAGGGAGCGUAGGCGGCCUUGUAAGUCAGUGGUGAAAUCUCUGGGCUUAACCCAGAAAUUGCCAUUGAUACUGCAGGGCUUGAGUACAGUUGCCGUUGGCGGAAUAUGACAUGUAGUGGUGAAAUACAUAGAGAUGUCAUAGAACACCGAUUGCGAAGGCAGCUAACGAAACUGUAACUGACGCUGAGGCUCGAAAGUGUGGGGAGCAAACAGG
rnacentral:rRNA from 1 species